rnacentral:rRNA from 1 species
UACGUAGGCAGCGAGCGUUGUUCGGAAUUACUGGGCGUAAAGAGUGUGUAGGCGGUGCUCUAAGUUCGGUGUGAAAUCUCCCGCUUAACUGGGAGGGUGCGCCGGAAACUGGAGUGCUCGAACGUGGGAGAGGAAAGCGGAAUUCCUGGUGUAGCGGUGAAAUGCGCAGAUAUCGGGAAGAACACCCGUGGCGAAGGCGGCUCUCUGGGACGGUACUGACGCUGAGACGCGAAAGCGUGGGGAGCGAACAGG